GCGAUGGUGUAAGGUGAGUUGGUAGGGCGUAUGGCUACCAACCUAAAGGUCGCAUGUUCAAUUUCUGCCCACCGCA